UGGGGAAUAUUGCACAAUGGGCGAAAGCCUGAUGCAGCAAUGCCGCGUGUGUGAAGAAGGCCUGCGGGUUGUAAAGCACUUUCGGUAGGGAAGAUUAUGACGGUACCUACAGAAGAAGCACCGGCUAACUCCGUGCCAGCAGCCGCGGUAAUACGGAGGGUGCAAGCGUUAAUCGGAAUUACUGGGCGUAAAGCGCGCGUAGGCGGCUUUGUAAGUCGGAUGUGAAAGCCCCGGGCUUAACCUGGGAAUUGCAUUCGAUACUGCAUGGCUAGAGUAUGGUAGAGGGUAGCGGAAUUCCGGGUGUAGCGGUGAAAUGCGUAGAUAUCCGGAGGAACACCAGUGGCGAAGGCGGCUACCUGGACCAAUACUGACGCUGAGGUGCGAAAGCGUGGGGAGCAAACA
rnacentral:rRNA from 1 species